GCUUAACCGAAGAAGUGCAUCGGAAACUGGGAGACUUGAGUGCAGAAGAGGACAGUGAACUCCAUGUGUAGCGGUGGAAUGCGUAGAUAUAUGGAAGAACACCAGUGGCGAAGGCGGCUGUCUAGUCUGUAACUGACGCUGAGGCUCGAAAGCAUGGGUAGCGAACAGGAUUAGAUACCCUGGUAGUCCAUGCCGUAAACGAUGAGUGCUAAGUGUUGGAGGGUUUCCGCCCUUCAGUGCUGCAGCUAACGCAUUAAGCACUCCGCCUGGGGAGUACGACCGCAAGGUUGAAACUCAAAGGAAUUGACGGGGGCCCGCACAAGCGGUGGAGCAUGUGGUUUAAUUCGAAGCUACGCGAAGAACCUUACCAGGUCUUGACAUCUUCUGCCAAUCUAAGAGAUUAGACGUUCCCUUCGGGGACAGAAUGACAGG
rnacentral:rRNA from 1 species